rnacentral:rRNA from 1 species
GAUGAACGCUGGCGGCGUGCCUAAUACAUGCAAGUCGAGCGAAUGGAUUAAGAGCUUGCUCUUAUGAAGUUAGCGGCGGACGGGUGAGUAACACGUGGGUAACCUGCCCAUAAGACUGGGAUAACUCCGGGAAACCGGGGCUAAUACCGGAUAACAUUUUGAACCGCAUGGUUCGAAAUUGAAAGGCGGCUUCGGCUGUCACUUAUGGAUGGACCCGCGUCGCAUUAGCUAGUUGGUGAGGUAACGGCUCACCAAGGCAACGAUGCGUAGCCGACCUGGGAGGGUGAGCGGCCACACUGGGGCUGAGACACGGCCCAGACUCCGACGGGAGGCAGCAGUAGGGAAUCUUCCGCAAUGGACGAAAGUCUGACGGAGCAACGCCGCGUGAGUGAUGAAGGCUUUCGGGUCGUAAAACUCUGUUGUUAGGGAAGAACAAGUGCUAGUUGAAUAAGCUGGCACCUCGACGGUACCUAACCAGAAAGCCACGGCUAACUACGUGCCAGCCGCCGCCGUAA